rnacentral:rRNA from 1 species
UACGUAGGAUGCAAGCGUUGUCCGGAAUUAUUGGGCGUAAAGAGCGAGCAGGCGGUUUGGAAAGUUGGACGUGAAAUUUUAGGGCUUAACCCUAAAGGGUCGUCCAAAACUCCCAGACUAGAGUGCAGGAGAGGAAAGCGGAAUUCCCGGUGUAGUGGUGAAAUGCGUAGAUAUCGGGAGGAACACCAGAGGCGAAGGCGGCUUUCUGGCCUGUAACUGACGCUGAGGCGCGAAGGCUGGGGUAG